rnacentral:rRNA from 1 species
GAUGAAUGCUAGCGGCAGGCCUAACACAUGCAAGUCGAGGGGUAGCAGGAUUAAGCUUGCUUAAUUGCUGACGACCGGCGCACGGGUGCGUAACGCGUAUGCAACCUACCUUAUACUGGGGUAUAGCCCGGAGAAAUUCGGAUUAAUCCCCCAUAGUACUAAUGAAUCGCAUGGUUUAUUAGUUAAAGCAUUGCGGUAUAAGAUGGGCAUGCGUCCUAUUAGCUAGAUGGUGAGGUAACGGCUCACCAUGGCUACGAUAGGUAGGGGGCCUGGGAGGGUGGUCCCCCACACUGGUACUGAGACACGGACCAGACUCCUACGGGAGGCAGCAGUGAGGAAUAUUGGUCAAUGGGCGCAAGCCUGAACCAGCCAUGCCGCGUGCAGGAAGAAUGCCCUAUGGGUUGUAAACUGCUUUUAUUUGGGAAUAAACCUCUUUACGUGUAGAGAGCUGAAGGUACCAAAUGAAUAAGCACCGGCUAACUCCGUGCCAGCCGCCGGGUAA